UACAGAGGCCCCAAGCGUUACUGAGAAUCACUGGGUUUAAAGGGUGCGUAGGCGGCUUGAUAAGUCAUUGGUGAAAGCUCGCAGCUCAACUGCGAAACUGCCAUUGAAACUGUCAAGCUUGAAUGUGGUUGAAGUGGGCGGAAUACAACAUGUAGCGGUGAAAUGCUUAGAUAUGUUUUAGAACACCGAUUGCGAAGGCAGCUCACUAAGCCAAUAUUGACGCUGAGGCACGAAAGCGUGGGUAGCAAACAGG
rnacentral:rRNA from 1 species